CUCUUCAUUACUCAUUGGUUUCUGUUGGCUCAUCAUGGCAGUGCUGCAGAGAGUUCCACAUACAUAGUACACAUGGACAGAUCCCUUUUUCCCACUGUCUUUUCAACUCAUCAUGAUUGGUUUGAAUCCACCGUUCAGUCCAUAAAAUCAGCAACACCUGCUCUCUCAUNCANNCAAUCACAGAAACAGAUAGUGUACUCCUAUAACCAUGCCAUGUAUGGCUUCAGUGCAGUUCUAACAUCACAAGAGUUAGAGGCUCUNAAGAACUCUCGUGGUUUUGUUGCAGCAUAUCCAGACAGAAAUGUCACCAUAGACACCACUCACACUUUUGAGUUUCUCUCCCUAGCCUCUUCCAGUGGNCUNUGGCANGCNUCNAAUUUNGGGGAGGAUGUCAUUGUGGGUGUUNUUGACNCUGGUGUGUGGCCUGANAGUGAAAGCUUCAAAGAUGAUGGCAUGACCAAGAAAAUUCCAAGUAAAUGGAAAGGAACCUGUCAGGAAGGGCAAGACUUCAACACUUCCAUGUGCAACUUCAAACUGAUCGGAGCUAGAUAUUUCAACAAAGGAGUGAUUGCUAGAAACCCCAAGGUUAAAAUCAGUAUGAACUCAGCUAGAGAUACAGAGGGUCAUGGAACUCACACAUCUUCCACAGUUGCUGGCAACUAUG
rnacentral:lncRNA from 1 species